CUUUCCAAUUUAGGGUUUGCCACUUUACAAAUUUAGGGCAGCGCCGCUCUUCUCUCUCGCCGUUCUUCUCUCUCGAUCUCUCCGUCUCUGAACUCAUCGCCGCUCUUGUCUCUCUCGGUCUCUCCAUCUCUGACUCACGAUUUGCUCGAUUUGCUCGUCACCGCUCUUCGUUGCACCGCUGCUCACCACCGCUUCGCCUGUGUUCGUCGAUUUCGAGCCUCCACAUACUGGUUGCUGGUUGCUACUUGUUGCUUGCUACAAUGAUCAAGAAUUUUGGAAAAGAAUGAUGUAUGUUGCUGCAAUAGCCAAGAAAAUUUGGAACAAAGAAUGAUGUUUUGGAUUUUUCUAUUUGUUGUACGUUUAAUUUGUUGAACUAUUUUUGUUUGCUAAAUCAGAUUGUGACAUUGAUUUUAA